AUAGUGUAUCAUUGUACUUGCCACAUAAAUUCAAAUUCAUGCAAUGGCAGGCAGAGAAAGCCCUGCAAUUAAUAAGUGUGGAAGUGUUCUAAGAACACUAAGUUGCAGAGAGGCAGGCCAAGUUCUAAUGCGAAUAUCGAGCCACAAAGAAGAAGAAGAAGAAUAUACGUUUAAAUUCCUCCUACUAAAACUUCCAUAAUAGGUCAAAGCUUGAACACUUUCUUAAUUUCUACUAUGGCCAAAUAGGGAUCCACUAUGGCGAUAACUGGUGCACUUACCCUAUUUUGUAAUUUUUCUGUUUGAUAUUUCUGGAAAAAAAUAUCAGUGCCAGUAUGUGACCAAUCUGCGAUUCGGCUCUAUUUGCAAUCAAAUUAAUCUAAUUUGGGCUGACCAAUUGUCGCUCUUUAUCCAAAGAGUGAAUGGAUAAAGGGAAUUGAACUAUUAUCGUUUUCAAAAAAUAAAUGAUGAUAUCUGGACAAAGCAGCCAUAGAACUAAACUAGCUUCAAGCUCAAAAAACGUAACACAAAUAUAGAUAAUUGAUUUUUCAUCCUUUCAUUAAUUAUUGAUUAGCAGGUAUAUCGCAGCUCGGAAAGCAUGCUCGUGAACCGUGAAAUUUAAACUCAUUUCCCACCGACACAGCGCUUGAGGUUCAGCCUGAAUUGCAGAUAAUUUUCUAAUUUUCUUCGAAAGCGAGACGAAGGCUGCGGAUGUCAAAGCUUUUGACACACUUUGAGCGAAAUGUGGGUUGACAAGCUGAUUGAGAUAGCUGAGACAGUUUUCGCUUGGAGGAGGAGUAAUUAUCUAAUGAACCUACUUCAGGUGAACAUUUUAACAAAGCUUUACGACCAGAAGGGUUACCCAAAAAUAAACUUCGAAGAUAUAAAUCCACAUUGCUGAGCAUCUUAGAACGUAUUUGGAUCACGGUCGUCUCAAACGUAACAAACAACAACCAUUUAUCAACCCAAACAUCCGGAUUACCCCAAUUUGUGCUUCCUAGACCGAGCUCGUGUCACUGUGUCGUUUGAUUUAUCAUGAUUUGAUGACCGUCACGUGCACCGUCAACUUCGGACGAGAUGAGAAAACAAAACAAAUUGGAGCAUCAAGAAGCUGACACAGGAAAUGUAGAGCACUAGUUUUGAAUAUUCAUGUGCUUGGAUUGAUGUAUACGCUCACUACCUGCAGUAUCCUUGAGUCUCGGGCACUCUCCGGUGAAAAGAGUCAACUAAAGUAGAAAAAUGAAUAAAUCAUAGAGGAAAUCAAAGAGAA